CCCUUAGAUGUUCUGGGCCGCACGCGCGCUACACUGAUGCAUUCAACGAGUUUCUUCCUGGUCCGAGAGGAAUGGGUAACCUUUUGAAAGUGCAUCGUGAUAGGGAUAGACUAUUGCAAUUAUUGGUCUUCAACGAGGAAUUCCUAGUAGACGUAGUUCAUCAGACUGCAUCGAUUACGUCCCUGCCCUUUGUACACACCGCCCGUCGCUCCUACCGAUUGAAUGCUCAGGUGUGCCAUUCGGACUUUCAUCAUGCUGGUUUCCAGUUUUGAUGAAGGAAAGUCUUGCGAACCUUAUCAUUUAGAGGAAGGAGAAGUCGUAACA
rnacentral:rRNA from 1 species